GAUGAACGCUGGCGGCGUGCCUAAUACAUGCAAGUCGAGCGAACAGAUGAGGAGCUUGCUCCUCUGACGUUAGCGGCGGACGGGUGAGUAACACGUGGAUAACCUACCUAUAAGACUGGGAUAACUUCGGGAAACCGGAGCUAAUACCGGAUAAUAUAUUGAACCGCAUGGUUCAAUAGUGAAAGACGGUUUUGCUGUCACUUAUAGAUGGAUCCGCGCCGCAUUAGCUAGUUGGUAAGGUAACGGCUUACCAAGGCAACGAUGCGUAGCCGACCUGAGAGGGUGAUCGGCCACACUGGAACUGAGACACGGUCCAGACUCCUACGGGAGGCAGCAGUAGGGAAUCUUCCGCAAUGGGCGAAAGCCUGGCGGAGCAACGCCGCGUGAGUGAUGAAGGUCUUCGGAUCGUAAAACUCUGUUAUUGGGGAAGAACAAAUGUGUAAGUAACUAUGCACGUCUUGACGGUACCUAAUCAGAAAGCCACGGCUAACUACGUG
rnacentral:rRNA from 1 species